GGUGGCUCAGCGGUAGAGUGCUUGCCUUGCAUGCAUGAGGUCCUGGGUUCAAUUCCUCAGCACCA
rnacentral:tRNA from 1 species